GGAAGUAAAAGUCUAACAAGGUCUCCGUUGGUGAACCAGCGGAGGGAUCAUUACAGGACUCGCAAGACUCCUACAACCCUGUGAACUUAACUAUAAGCACGUUGCUUCGGCGGGUGUCUCGGAGGGGGUUCUCCCUCCCCGAGACGCUAAACCCGCCGGCAGCCUACUAUACUCUGUCUCUUUGCGUUGGCAUCUCGAGUACAAUCAAACAAGUUAAAACUUUCAACAACGGAUCUCUUGGUUCUG
rnacentral:misc_RNA from 1 species